rnacentral:rRNA from 1 species
AACGAACGCUGGCGGCAUGCCUAACACAUGCAAGUCGAACGAGACCUUCGGGUCUAGUGGCGCACGGGUGCGUAACGCGUGGGAACAUGCCCUUAGGUUCGGAAUAACUCCCCGAAAGGGGUGCUAAUACCGGAUAAUGUCUUCGGACCAAAGAUUUAUCGACUUUGGUUGGGCCCGCGUUGGAUUAGCUAGUUGGUAGGGUAACAGCCUACCAAGGCGACGAUCCAUAGCUGGUCUGUGAGGAUGAUCAGCCACACUGGGACUGAGACACGGCCCAGACUCCUACGGGAGGCAGCAGUGGGGAAUAUUGGACAAUGGGCGAAAGCCUGAGCCAGCAAGGCCGCGUGAGUGAUGAAGGCCUUAGGGUUGUAAAGCUCUUUUACCCGGGAUGAUAAUGACAGUACCGGGAGAAUAAGCGCCGGCUAACUCCGUG